rnacentral:rRNA from 1 species
AUUUAUGUGAGGCACAACACGCGCCCUAGGUUUUUGGCCAACCCAGAGUAUUAAUCCUGGCUCAGAUUGAACGCUGGCGGCAGCCAUAACACAUGCAAGUCGAGCGGAUGAAGGGAGCUUGCUCUUGGAUUCAGCGGCGGACGGGUGAGUAAUGCCUAGGAAUCUGCCUGGUAGUGGGGGAUAACGUCCGGAAACGGGCGCUAAUACCGCAUACGUCUUGAGGGAGAAAGUGGGGGAUCUUCGGACCUCACGCUAUCAGAUGAGCAUAGGUCGGAUUAGCUAGUUGGUGGGGUAAAGGCCUACCAAGGCGACGAUCCGUAACUGGUCUGAGAGGAUGAUCAGUCACACUGGAACUGAGACACGGUCCAGACUCCUACGGGAGGCAGCAGUGGGGAAUAUUGGACAAUGGGCGAAAGCCUGAUCCAGCCAUGCCGCGUGUGUGAAGAAGGUCUUCGGAUUGUAAAGCACUUUAAGUUGGGAGGAAGGGCAGUAAGUUAAUACCUUGCUGUUUUGACGUUACCAACAGAAUAAGCACCGGCUAACUUCGUGCCAGCAGCCGCGGUAAUACGAAGGGUGCAAGCGUUAAUCGGAAUUACUGGGCGUAAAGCGCGCGUAGGUGGUUCAGCAAGUUGGAUGUGAAAUCCCCGGGCUCAACCUGGGAACUGCAUCCAAAACUACUGAGCUAGAGUACGGUAGAGGGUGGUGGAAUUUCCUGUGUAGCGGUGAAAUGCGUAGAUAUAGGAAGGAACACCAGUGGCGAAGGCGACCACCUGGACUGAUACUGACACUGAGGUGCGAAAGCGUGGGGAGCAAACAGGAUUAGAUACCCUGGUAGUCCACGCCGUAAACGAUGUCGACUAGCCGUUGGGAUCCUUGAGAUCUUAGUGGCGCAGCUAACGCGAUAAGUCGACCGCCUGGGAGUCCCCCCAUGGUAAAUCU